AUUUUUUUUUUAUUCCUUUCACGGUACUCAAACAUCAAUUCAGUACCUAGAAAAGACAAAUGUUGGCUUGUAUUAAAAUAUCAAAAAUGCUCCCGACCUCUAAACGUUCAUCACUAAAUUAGCACUAAUGACGUGGCUGCCUACGUGAAAAAUGGAUGCAAACUCGCCCAUUUCUCCCUCUUUCUUAUUCAUUUCAAAUUUCAAAUUCAUUUUCACAGCACAAUACAUUUGAAGACUCUCUCUCUAUUCUUCCUUCUCUUCUCUGUUGUGCCUUUCCUAGGCGACCUCCCCGACGAGCGUAGCUCUGCAACACCAGCGACCCGACUGAACAAACGCUGCUCUCCAACCCCGGCAACGAUCAAGGUUGAACGCAGCUUCUACAACCCCGGCGACCCGACGAGCGCAGCUUCUACAACCCGGCGACCCGUCCGCCUUCCCACCGGACUCGCUUCUCUCGACUCUCUGUGUUUUCUCGACAGAUCUGUGAUGUCAACUUCAAGUGUUAACGGCAGUACCUCAGAUCAAUUGACGUAUUGCAACAGAAAUUGUCCUCAAUUUCGGAAAAAAGUAAUCAUUCUAAUUUCGGAAACGGAACGAAACAAGAAUAAGCCAUUUUAUUGUUGUCCUGAUUGCAGUGGGUUUAUUGCAUGGUGCUUGCCUACAAAUUCACAACCUAGGGAGGAAGGGCAAGUGCGAAUGGAGAAUACACCGACUAUCACCGAACAACUUCAAAGUAUGGGCGAACAUCUUCGAUUUCAAAGCAAACAACAUCAAUUUCAGAAUGCGCAGAUGCAAAAAUUGCAAAGAGACAUAAUAGAAAUUCGUGUUGUAUUAAUGGGAUCUUCAUCUUGCUUGUAAUUGGUGUUAUAUUAAUUAUGAAGAUGUAAUAAUUUUUAUACAAGUUAGAACAUGUAAUUGGUGUUGUAUUAAUUAUGAAGAUGAUAUGUAUGAAGAUUUAUGAUAUAUUACAAUUAUGGAUUGACAAGUA